GUUCAACCUGUUCCUUCUUGUCAAGCCACAACUACACAGCUUUAAAAGCACAGACGCAGAAGAAAAACUGAACCUUUAAAGCUUCUCUUCUCUCAUCCGAACAGACAGGAGCACUUUGAAAAUGGCCAGCCACGAACUUGCUGCCACAAUUGAUUACUGCGCACAUGAGCUGCGUCAGGUUGGAGAUGGACUGUACUGGAGAUACAAACUGCUGGAAAUACUGAUGAAGAACUAUAAGACUGUUUCUAAAAUCAAGUGAGACAUGACGUCAAAGCGAAAAGGAAAGAGGAAAUGAAUUUAAACUGGAUGGGGUUCAGAGCUGACGCACAAGAGUCUUUGACUCUGACUCAUCAUUGGGGGCAAAAUGGUGUCUCUCAAAUGAGAUGUAAGCCUGUGGAAACACCCUGAUGGAUAUACUGGAUGUGAACUGUCAGUGGACUGUUGUCGUAUUCAAGACUGGAGCUCUGCAGAGAAAGCCAAAUGUCUGGGAUGCUGUUGAUCCACCGACUUAAACCCAUGGGUGACUGGAACCAAUGUGGAACAUCUGAAUGGGGGUCAUCUGCUGAAGAAUGCUGAUCGUCACAUGUACUCUAUACAUACUGCUGUACAUAUGGACAUGUAUGCAUGUUAUGCUCUAUCAGUCUGUCACAUUUAUGUCAACUGAAGAAGUGGGACUCUGUUAGCUACUUUUCUUCUCAAGACUUGUAAAUGUCUUUCUAAUGGGAGGUUUUUCAUGAUUUGCUAAUAAAAGAUUCAUGGUCAAGU